rnacentral:rRNA from 1 species
AUUGAACGCUGGCGGCAGGCCUAACACAUGCAAGUCGAGCGGUAGAGAGGUGCUUGCAUCUCUUGAGAGCGGCGGACGGGUGAGUAAUGCCUAGGAAUCUGCCUAGUGGUGGGGGAUAACGUUCGGAAACGGACGCUAAUACCGCAUACGUCCUACGGGAGAAAGCGGGGGAUCUUCGGACCUCGCGCCAUUAGAUGAGCCUAGGUCGGAUUAGCUAGUUGGUGAGGUAAUGGCUCACCAAGGCGACGAUCCGUAACUGGUCUGAGAGGAUGAUCAGUCACACUGGAACUGAGACACGGUCCAGACUCCUACGGAGGCAGCAGUGGGGGAUAUUGGACAAUGGGCGAAAGCCUGAUCCAGCCAUGCCGCGUGUGUGAAGAAGGUCUUCGGAUUGUAAAGCGCUUUAAGUUGGGAGGAAGGGUAGUAACC